GCGAGGUUAAGUCGAAGAGACGGAGCCGCAGCGAAAGCGAGUCUGAAUAGGGCGAAUGAGUAUGUAGUCGUAGACCCGAAACCAUGUGAUCUACCCAUGUCCAGGUUGAAGGUGCGGUAAAACGCACUGGAGGACCGAACCCACGUACGUUGAAAAGUGCGGGGAUGAGGUGUGGGUAGCGGAGAAAUUCCAAACGAACUUGGAGAUAGCUGGUUCUCUCCGAAAUAGCUUUAGGGCUAGCCUCGGAAUUGAGAAUGAUGGAGGUAGAGCACUGUUUGGACUAGGGGCCCAUCUCGGGUUACCGAAUUCAGAUAAACUCCGAAUGCCAUUCAUUUAUAUCCGGGAGUCAGACUGCGAGUGAUAA
rnacentral:rRNA from 1 species